rnacentral:rRNA from 1 species
AGCGAACGCUGGCGGCAGGCUUAACACAUGCAAGUCGAACGGGCAUCUUCGGAUGUCAGUGGCAGACGGGUGAGUAACACGUGGGAACGUACCCUUCGGUUCGGAAUAACUCAGGGAAACUUGAGCUAAUACCGGAUACGCCCUUUUGGGGAAAGGUUUACUGCCGAAGGAUCGGCCCGCGUCUGAUUAGCUUGUUGGUGGGGUAACGGCCUACCAAGGCGACGAUCAGUAGCUGGUCUGAGAGGAUGAUCAGCCACACUGGGACUGAGACACGGCCCAGACUCCUACGGGAGGCAGCAGUGGGGAAUAUGGGACACUGGGCGCAAGCCUGAGCCAGCCAUGCCGCGGGAGUGAUGAAGGCCUUAGGGUUGUAAAGCUCUUUUGCCCGGGACGAUAAUGACGGUACCGGAAGAAGAAGCCCCGGCUAACUUCGU